CACGUAGGGUGCGAGCGUUGUCCGGAAUUAUUGGGCGUAAAGCGUCCGCAGGUGGCUAUUCAAGUCUGCGGUCAAAGACUGGGGCUUAACCCUGGAAAGGCCGUGGAAACUGAAGAGCUAGAGUGCAGUAGGGGUAGAGGGAAUUCCCGGUGUAGCGGUGAAAUGCGUAGAGAUCGGGAAGAACACCAGUGGCGAAAGCGCUCUACUGGGCCAUGACUGACACUGAGGGACGAAAGCUAGGGGAGCGAAAGGG
rnacentral:rRNA from 1 species